rnacentral:rRNA from 1 species
AACGAACGCUGGCGGCAUGCCUAACACAUGCAAGUCGAACGAAACCAAGGCUUCGGCCUGAAGUUUAGUGGCGCACGGGUGCGUAACGCGUGGGAAUCUGCCCUUGGGUUCGGAAUAACUCAGAGAAAUUUGAGCUAAUACCGGAUGAUGACGAAAGUCCAAAGAUUUAUCGCCCAGGGAUGAGCCCGCGUAAGAUUAGCUUGUUGGUGAGGUAAAGGCUCACCAAGGCGACGAUCUUUAGCUGGUCUGAGAGGAUGAUCAGCCACACUGGGACUGAGACACGGCCCAGACUCCUACGGGAGGCAGCAGUGGGGAAUAUUGGACAAUGGGCGAAAGCCUGACGCAGCAACGCCGCGUGAGGGAUGACGGCCUUCGGUUGUAAACCGUCUUUCUAGCAGGGAAGGAAGCGAAAGUGACGGUACCGUGCAGAAGAAGCACCGGCUAACUACGUAGCCAGCAGCCGCGGUAAU